AACAACUCACCUGCCGAAUGAAUUAGCCCUGAAAAUGGAUGGCGCUGAAGCGGGCAGCCGACACCGUGCCGUUCCGGCGAGACGAUGCCGGGAUGAGUAGGAGGGCGUGGCGGUCAGUGACGCAGGCGAGGGUGCAGACCCCGCUGAAACGGCCGCUAGUGCAGAUCUUGGUGGUAGUAGCAAAUAUUCAAGCGAGAUCCUUGAAGGGCGAAGCGGGGAAGGGUUCCACGCAAACAUUGAUUGGGCGUGGGUGAGUCGUUCCUAAGCCGAGUGGCAAUUGCUAAGUAGCGGCGAAAGGGAAGCGGGUUAAAAUUCCCGCACACGGAUAUGGAGGCGGCGACGCAAGCAGAGGCAAAUACGCUGGCGAGGGCGCUGGGCAGAGUUUUCUUUUCUGUUUGACCGGCAUCGUGCUGUGUGGAAUCCGCUUAUCGGGAGAAACACGCGCGGGGAGGGGCAGAGCGUCAGGUCUUUUCUGGCGUCCGGCUCGCCCUCGACGGCCCUUGAAAAUUUGCCCGCGACCUUUUUUUAUAAAAUUUCAUGCUGUGACGUACCGAUAACCGCAUCAGGUCCCCAAGGUGAACAGCCUCUGCUCAAUAUGAACAAU
rnacentral:rRNA from 1 species